CCCUUAGAUGCUCUGGGCCGCACGCGCGCUACACUGGUCGAUGCAACGAGUUUCUUUCCUUGGCCGACAGGCCUGGGCAAUCUUUGAACAUCGAUCGUGAUCGGGAUAGAUUCUUGUAAUUUUUGAUCUUAAACGAGGAAUUCCUAGUAAACGCAAGUCAUCAGCUUGCAUUGACUACGUCCCUGCCCUUUGUACACACCGCCCGUCGCACCUACCGAUUGAAUGGUCCGGUGAAAUCUCCGGACUGGCGUGAGUCGGAGCAAUCUGACAAACGCCGGAAAGUUGAUUAAACCUUACCAUUUAGAGGAAGGUGAAGUCGUAACA
rnacentral:rRNA from 1 species